rnacentral:lncRNA from 1 species
AGAAUUUUUCAUUGAUAAUAAGAAUUUAAACAAGCUCCAAAAAAUUAGAAGAGUAAGAACAACAAAUGCCCUGUUAGAUUGCUAGGGCUUCAUCCAGCCCUAGUCUAGAUGUUUAGCUACGCAUGGCUUCCGGACGGCCUUCCAUCUUUAUAUAAAAAUUCUUCUGCUUCCGCUAUUUCCAAAAUACCCAAAAUAUUCUCUCCCACCUCCUUUCUUUUCUUCUUUUUCUCCCUAACAGAGGCCCCUUUGGUAGAGGAGUUCCCCCU